UAUAUGUAACGAAAUAAGUAUAUACCAUGUUAAUAGUUCAGUAUUAAAUCCUGCUUUAAUGGGAGUGCAGUUCCUGCUAGUUCGCCGGUGGCGCUAUUGCGCACAGAGUCUGUGUAUAGACUGCAGCAGAGUUAGGGAGAACUGCUGUGGAUGUGGAUGCUAAAUUAAACCGUGUUGAUCUCACUGUUACUGCUCUGUGUGCAGGGCAAAAUAAAAUCCUCCUCAUCCGAGUCCAGUGUGUGUGUAUUGCUGAAGGGUGAAUGAAGUGGGUUCGGGAGUGAAGUAUAAAGGUCACAUAUAUAUACUAAGUAAAUAAUAAGUAAAACAUUGCACCUUCAUUACAGCAUAUAUUAAUACAUGCAACAGUCUAUUUAGUUUGAAGGAACCUUUAUAUCUAUGUAAAAUUUAUGUAGACAAUGCAGCACUAAUAAUGUGAGAGCAUGUGUUUGGCCAUGGACAGAAAAGAAGUAAAGACAACUAUACAUAAAGUAUACAGAUAUUUGUUAAACUAAUUUCCAUGACCUUUCCAAAACUUUAUGGGUUUUUCAGAUUCUCCAAAACUUUUCCAGGCCUGGAAAAUGCCAUGUCAAAAUUCCAUGACUUUUCCAGGUUUUUCAUGACCGUAUGAACCCU